rnacentral:tRNA from 1 species
GCUGGGAACGUAGCCCAGUGGUAGAGCACUUACCUAGUAUGCCUGAGGCCCUGGGUUCAAUCCCCAGCACAGUA